rnacentral:rRNA from 1 species
AGUUUGAUCCUGGCUCAGGAUGAACGCUGGCGGCGUAGCUUAACACAUGCAAGUCGAACGAAGCAUAAGAGACAGAAUACUACGGUAGGAAGAUUUUUAUGACUGAGUGGCGGACGGGUGAGUAACGCGUGGGUAACCUGCCUCAUACAGGGGGAUAACAGUUAGAAAUGGCUGCUAAUACCGCAUAAGCGCACAGUACUGCAUGGUACAGUGUGAAAAACUCUGGUGGUAUGAGAUGGACCCGCGUCUGAUUAGCUAGUUGGUGAGGUAAGGGCUCACCAAGGCAACGAUCAGUAGCCGACCUGAGAGGGUGAACGGCCACAUUGGGACUGAGACACGGCCCAAACUCCUACGGGAGGCAGCAGUGGGGAAUAUUGCACAAUGGGGGGAACCCUGAUGCGGCGACGCCGCGUGAAGGAAGAAGUAUUUCGGUAUGUAAACUUCUAUCAGCAGGGAAGAAAAUGACGGUACCUGACUAAGAAGCCCCGGCUAACUACGUG